rnacentral:lncRNA from 1 species
GCUAGAACACUGCCUGGCAGGUUAUGGUUGCUCUCGGCAAGCACUUUAGAAUGAACGGAGGCUGGGUGCUGUGCUAAGUGCCUGACACACGGGGCUCCGUUUCCCAGAUAUGGAAAGGCGCCCGGAGAGGUGAAGUCAACCGAUCCACGUUUGUGACGGAUGACGAGCGAGUGAACGAUGGAUAAUCGCAGGUAACGAGUUGGAGGAAAUGAAACAGGUGGCCAUGGGCUCCCCGGCAGUCCUCCGCAGCCCCCCACCCCCACCCCCACCCCGCCUGGCCUGCCUCCGGGUGCCUGCGACCCCCAACCCCCACCUCACGCUGGGUUCCGGAGCCCUGACGUAGGCCGAGCCCCUCAUUCCCCGACUGGGCUGCUGAGAGGGCAAGGGCCGGGCAGGGGUUACACGGGAUGGGAGGCAGUGUCCUCAGCACCCGGCUAAGGCAAGCCAGCCCCUGAUGGCUCAGAAAGGGGCCUUCUGAAACCCCCACUUGACCCUGGAAGGAAGCAGCCUUAUCCCGGGCCCAUCCUUAAGCAGCGUGGCCUGGCCUGAGCCCGUAUUUAUCGGGCACCCACUGCAGACCGGCCAGAGAGCCUUGCCUGGAGACCUGCCCUUGUCCAGGGUGCGUGCAGGAGGGGUGCCAGGGCAAGGCUGUGUUGUCCCGUGGGAACAGGUCCAGGGAAACCCGUGCUCCGGGGUUCCCCGCGGCAGAGUCCUGGGGGCAAGUGGCUUGGCCCUCUCUGGGCCUCAGUUUGCUCAUUUGUCACAUGGGAUAAGAGCCUCUCUCCAAGGGCUGUUGUGAGGAUUCAGUGAUUUGGAAAACUGGUGGCACUUCAUGCCAGCUCCCAGGAGGCGUGAACACAGCUGUAAGCCCUGUGCCGUCCCUCGGUCUGCCCCACCUCGCUCCCGUCCGCGUUUCUGUCCCCAUCUCCCAGCCUCUCCCCACGCGCACGCUACUCCCAACCCCCUGGGCUUGCUUUCUGUUCCUUGAACGGCCCCAGCUUUCUUCUGCCACAGGGCCUUUGCACCUGCUGUACCUCAGGCCUACAACACUCUUCCCUCAGAUCCUUCUGGGGCUCACUCCUCCUCCAGGCUUCAGCUCAAAGUCCACUCCUCAGAGGGGCCUUUACUGUUAAAUAUCCAAAAUGGGAACACCAACCCACCGGUCGCUCUCCCAAGUCACCCCAUUUUAUCUGAAAUUGUUGUCUCCAUUUCUCUAUUUACUUUGUCUCCCCCAGCUCUAGAGCAGAAGCCCUUCUGUUCUUGCUGACGGAUGCACCCCCAGCACUGGGACAGUGUCCCGCAUGUACUUCAUAGGCACUAAAGACAAAGUAAUCAACUCGCUCGCUACAGCAUUAAGUAAUUAAUCAAGUCUCUCAUGGAGGAAUGAAGGUCCUUCGUCGAAUUCCCAAAGGUCUUCAACAGCCAUCAGCUUUGGGGACUGUCUUAUUCCUAUUGACUUUGUGGUUCUUGGCAACUGACCAGUUAACUAAAACCUGGGGUCUGCCCUGGCCAGAUGCCCCCACCCACUUCCUUGACACCCCUCCUCCCUCAAAGAGGCUCAUUCGCCUUGACCAUCUCACCCGAUCUAACUUGCAUUUAUUACGAACUCCUCAAGGUCCAAAUGUGCGUGAUGCUUACCCAAGACAGGCCCAAGGACGUGGCGGGAGUGACCUUGCGUCACGGCUGGCUGUCACCUGACCAGAGGCAGAGGAGAUGAAAGACUAUCUGAGACCCGUGACCCGCGAUCUCACCCGAGGGGAGUCACUUCCGGUGGGGGGGGGUGGCCGGGGGCAGGUUUGUGGGGGUGACCUAAGGCGACCUGAGAAGCAGGAGAAAAAGCUUCAUCGCACUGGAGAGAAAGACCUUGCCAGGAUGAAGAAAGGCAGCAAAAACACAGAAGAGAAAGAAAGAUGAAAAGGAGUAAAAUGUUUUCACCGUGGAUGCCGGAGGGAUCCCGUGAAAACCAAGUCAGAUGACGUUCACGCUCCGCUCCACAGUCUCCCGUGACCAAAAGACGGAGAGUGAGUGAUGGCAAAGAGGCGGGGACACUGGUGGCCUCAGACACUACCGGGGGAGGGGGGUGUAACAUGGCGCGGCCCCCGAGGAAGCCAUCGCUCAAAAGGCUGGACACAGACUCACCUUAAGACCGGCUGUUCCAGUCUGGGGCACACACGAGAGAAAUGAGGUCCGCGUCCACACGAACGCUCGUGCCCCAGUGGCCCUUACAGCGCUGCCCGCGACAGCCCCGAGGUGGAGGUGGCCCCCGCGUCCCUCAGCUGACGAACAGGUAAAUGAAAGGGGCGGUCUCACCCCACGGAACGUUAUUUGGCAUGAAAAGGAAAACGGUGCUGCUACGAGCCGCGGUGCGGGUGAACUUUGAAAACACGAUGCCAAGUGAAAGAAGUGUGUUAACAAAAGACCACAUAGCGUUGAGUUCCGUUCGCAGGAAAUGUCCAGAAGGGGCAACUCCACCAGACAGAAAGCAGAUUCGUGGUGGUCUGGGAUCGGGGGGAGGGGGGGAAGGGGGGGAGGAGGUGUGGGGGGGGAUGAUGAUAUCUUUGGGAUGAUGACAAUGUCCUAAGAUUGACUGUGGUGGUGUUUGCACGACCCCGUGCAAUAGACUAAAAUCUGGUGAGUUGUGCCCAUCAAAUGAGUGCAUCGUAUGCUAUAUGAGCUACCUGUCA